rnacentral:rRNA from 1 species
UGGUCAUUUAGAGGAAGUAAAAGUCGUAACAAGGUUUCCGUAGGUGAACCUGCGGAAGGAUCAUUACUGAGACUGGGUGCUUCGGCGCCCGACCUCCAACCCUUUGUCUACCUUACCUCUGUUGCCUCCCGCCCGAUUAGGUAGAGAUACCGAAAAGGCGGGAAGGCCUAACCAUAAACCCUUUUUUAAACCCAGUCUUCUGAGAAAUUAUUUAAUAACUUCAAAACUUUCAACAACGGAUCUCUUGGUUCUGGCAUCGAUGAAGAACGCAGCGAAAUGCGAUACGUAAUGUGAAUUGCAGAAUUCAGUGAAUCAUCGAAUCUUUGAACGCACAUUGCGCCCUUUGGCAUUCCGAAGGGCAUGCCUGUUCGAGCGUCAUUAUCAACCAUCAAGCACAGCUUGGCAUUGACUGUCACCCCCCGAGAGGAGGGAGCGGUCUAAAAGAGUCGGCUUUGGAUUUACACCAGACGGCGUUAGUAAUACUUCCCGUCGAGCUGGUUUCCUUCAAAGGCCUCCAAAACCCAACACCUUAAGGUUGACCUCGGAUCAGGUAGGGAUACCCGCUGAACUUAAGCAUAUCAAUAAGCGGAGGA